rnacentral:piRNA from 1 species
GAGAAAAAGCUAAGGCUAUUGGAGC